rnacentral:rRNA from 1 species
CUACGGGUUGCUCCAGUGAGGAAUAUUGGACAAUGGGCGAAAGCCUGAUCCAGCAAUGCCGCGUGAAUGAAGAAGGCCUUUGGGUCGUAAAGUUCUUUCAGUAGGGAAGAUAAUGACGGUACCUACAGAAGAAGCCCCGGCUAACUCCGUGCCAGCAGCCGCGGUAAUACGGAGGGGGCUAGCGUUGGUCGGAAUUACUGGGCGUAAAGAGCAUGUAGGCGGAAAAGUAAGUCGGAAGUGAAAGCCCUGGGCUCAACCUAGGAAUUGCUUUCGAAACUGUUUUUCUUGAGAUAGGUAGGGGAUGAUGGAAUUUCCAGUGUAGGGGUGAAAUCCGUAGAUAUUGGAAGGAACACCAGUGGCGAAGGCGAUCAUCUGGACCUUAUCUGACGCUGAGAUGCGAAAGCGUGGGGAGCAAACAGGAUUAGAUACCCCAGUAGUC